UACGGGGGGGGCAAGCGUUGUUCGGAAUUACUGGGCGUAAAGAGCUCGCAGGUGGUUUGUCGCGUUGUUCGUGAAAACUCACAGCUCAACUGUGGGCGUGCGGGCGAUACGGGCAGACUGGAGUACUGCAGGGGAGACUGGAAUUCCUGGUGUAGCGGUGGAAUGCGCAGAUAUCAGGAGGAACACCGGUGGCGAAGGCGGGUCUCUGGGCAGUAACUGACGCUGAGGAGCGAAAGCGUGGGGAGCGAACAGG
rnacentral:rRNA from 1 species